rnacentral:snRNA from 1 species
UUUAAAGUCUGUGAUGUUGGCGA